UUGGAGGGCAAGUCUGGUGCCAGCAGCCGCGGUAAUUCCAGCUCCAAUAGCGUAUAUUAAAGUUGUUGCAGUUAAAAAGCUCGUAGUUGAAUUUCGGGGUCAGUAGGUCGGUCGUGCCACUGGUAUGAACUGGUUUUACUGAUUCCUCCCUCUUGAAGAACUGUAAUGCCAUUAAUUUGGUGUUGCAGGGAAUCAGGACUGUUACUUUGAAAAAAUUAGAGUGUUUAAAGCAGGCUUUAGCUUGAAUACAUUAGCAUGGAAUAAUGAAAUAGGACGUUUGAUCCUAUUUUGUUGGUUUCUAGGAUUGACGUAAUGAUUAAUAGGGAUAGUUGGGGGCAUUAGUAUUCAAUUGUCAGAGGUGAAAUUCUUGGAUUUAUUGAAGACUAACUACUGCGAAAGCAUUUGCCAAGGAUGUUUUCAUUAAUCAAGAACGAAAGUUAGGGGAUCGAAGACGAUCAGAUACCGUCGUAGUCUUAACCAUAAACUAUGCCGACUAGGGAUCGGAUGAUGUUAAUUUUUUAAUGACUCAUUCGGCGCCUUACGGGAAACCAAAGUGUUUGGGUUC
rnacentral:rRNA from 1 species